rnacentral:rRNA from 1 species
UACGUAGGUGGCGAGCGUUGUCCGGAUUUACUGGGCGUAAAGGGCUUGUAGGCGGUCCGUUAAGUCCGAUGUGAAAUCUCCCGGCUCAACUGGGAGAGGUCAUUGGAUACUGGCGGACUAGAGGGGGGUAGAGGAAAGCAGAAUUCCUGGUGUAGCGGUGAAAUGCGUAGAUAUCAGGAGGAAUACCAGUGGCGAAGGCGGCUUUCUGGGCCUACCCUGACGCUGAGGAGCGAAAGCGUGGGGAGCGAACAGG